rnacentral:rRNA from 1 species
UACGUAGGGUGCGAGCGUUAAUCGGAAUUACUGGGCGUAAGGCGUGCGCAGGCGGUUCGUUAAGUCAGCUGUGAAAGCCCCGGGCUCAACCUGGGAAUUGCGGUUGAAACUGGCGAACUAGAAUCUGGCAGAGGGGGGUGGAAUUCCACGUGUAGCAGUGAAAUGCGUAGAGAUGUGGAGGAACACCAGUGGCGAAGGCGACUCUUUGGCCUGUAACUGACGCUGAGGCGCGAAAGCGUGGGGAGCAAACAGG